UCCCUGGUGGUCUAGUAGUUAGGAUUUGGUGUUUUCACUGCUGUGGCCCAGGUUCAACCCCUGGUUUGGGAA
rnacentral:tRNA from 1 species